UCAGGUUGCUCCUGGAGCUGUGCUGGUGACCCCAUAAGCACUUGGCUUCUUGCCUCCACGUGGGAGUCACAGCCUAAAAUGGAUAGAUGGAUGCCGAGCACUAGAGGACAGAUGGACCCCAGCCCUUACUGGUCCAAGGCAUGAGCCCAUGAAUGAUCCUGGAGGACUUUCCUCAGCCUCAAGUUUGCGGUACCAGAGUCUGAUGCAAGUCUCCACCCCAGAGGCAGGCCUGACCACGGCUCCUGAGGAUGCUGUGCACAGGAAGCUGAGGCAGGCAAUCCUAUGUGAAUGUCAAGCACACAAGCUAGACAGAAGAAAGAACUUCCAUAGGGCAUCAAUACUGU